rnacentral:rRNA from 1 species
AUUGAACGCUGGCGGCAUGCCUAACACAUGCAAGUCGAGCGAGGACUUCGGUCCUAGCGGCGGACGGGUGAGUAACGCGUGGGAACGUGCCCUUUGCUACGGAAUAGCCCCGGGAAACUGGGAGUAAUACCGUAUGUGGUCGAGAGACGAAAGAUUUAUCGCCAAAGGAUCGGCCCGCGUUGGAUUAGGUAGUUGGUGGGGUAAUGGCCUACCAAGCCGACGAUCCAUAGCUGGUUUGAGAGGAUGAUCAGCCACACUGGGACUGAGACACGGCCCAGACUCCUACGGGAGGCAGCAGUGGGGAAUCUUAGACAAUGGGGGAAACCCUGAUCUAGCCAUGCCGCGUGAUCGAUGAAGGCCUUAGGGUUGUAAAGAUCUUUCAGUGGGGAAGAUAAUGACUGUACCCACAGAAGAAGCCCCGGCUAACUCCGUGCCAGCCGCCGCGGUAACAC